UUGUAAUUGUUGUAGGUUUAUUAGUUUCAUAUUUAUAUUUGUAAAAAAAAUAUUAUAUAUUUUGUGAAAUAAACACUGUAAACUUAUACAUUUUAAUUUUACAAGCCUGGAUUCUUUUUGUACAAGUCACGCCUAACAAAAUCACCACACCACAAUUUUGUGAUUUUGGUCGGACAGGGGAGGAUGAACUUUCCUUUUACAUCUUAUUCUCAUCGAUACCAUUCCAGCAGUAGCAGCAUUCGUUUUACAACACCAUCGACGUCAUCAUCAUUAAGCAGUGACUUUAUUUUUUAAUCAGGUGAACAGAAACAUGGAUUUGCAACAAAUCAACGCUGUAUCCGAUCAGUACAGAAAACUUGUAUCCGAGCUGACCAGUCUACAGGAAGGAGAAGGCCAUUUGAUACACGACAUGAAGAGAGUGAAUGGCACAUUCGGAAGUAUUUAAACAAAUGAUGAAUGCGGACUCCGACUCGGUACUCUCUAUCCUGCCAAAGAAGUAUUUCCCGCUGGCAACAACCAAGCAGGAGAUGGAGCUGAAGGUGGCCAACGGCACGUCCAUCGCCACCUUCGGCACACGUCGCCUUAGGUUGGACCUCGGCCUGCGUCGCCCACUCCAAUAGCCUUUUGUCAUGGCGGACACGCAGUCUGCCAUCCUCGGCGCCGAUGCGAUAAGGUACUACGAUCUGGUCAUCAACCUUCGCAAUCGCUGCCUGCAUGACCGCCUUACUAUCCUUAAAGUGUGCACCGUCGGCCCAGAACCAGGUGCACAUUCGAUCAGUUUGAUUUCGCACAUUGUUAUCCCCGAGCGACCACCGACUCCAAGACGAAUUUAUGAAAAUUGUGCCACCGCCUGGGGAAACGGCCACCCUCCAAGACAUGCCAGUUCAGCAUCACAUCGUGACGCACGGCCAACCAGUUUUCACUCGUCCACGCUGGCUUAUCCUGCGGCCCUACCAGGACGAUAUCCUCGUCAUCUCGCCAAGACACGACGAGCACCUCCAUUACAUGCGCCUGUUGUUCGAAACCCUUUGUGACGCACGUCUCCGACCUAAUUGGGACAAGUGCUUCACCGGUUACCUCGUCUCUGCCACGCCGUCAUGCCGCUGCCCCGCACGCCCCCUUGUCGCAGCAGCUCAAGGGACUCACGAAGAAAAAGUCGCAGUUGAGUUGGACCAGCGAAACCGACCAAGCUUUCGACAGAUGCAAGAGCAGAAUAGCCGAUGCAGCGACGUCUGCUUUCCUCGGCCACCAAACGCCUCUCGCUCUCCGCACCGACGCGUCCAACACCGCUAUAGGCGCAACCCUGGACCAACAAAGCGAGGACGGCACAUGCAUUCCUGUUGGUUUCUUUUCGCGGAAGCUUUCCUAUUCUGAGCAACGCUACUCCACAAGAGUUUCGCAUCACGCGCCAUCUGCUCGCACUUUGUAAUAAUAUAGUAAACAAUUAGUGUUCUU